rnacentral:rRNA from 1 species
AAUGAACGUUGGCGGCGUGGAUUAGGCAUGCAAGUCGAGCGAGAAUUUGCGAUUGGAAGCUUCGGCCGAAGAAAGUGAAGGAAAGCGGCAAACGGCGUAGUAAGGCGUAGGUACGUACCCUCGGGUCGGGAAUAGCCAUGGGAAACUGUGGGUAAUGCCCGAUAAUCUCUGCGGAGCAAAGGUGUGAUUCCGCCGGAGGAGCGGCUUACGUGAUAUUAGCUAGUUGGUGGGGUAAUGGCCUACCAAGGCAACGAUGUCUAGGGGGUGUGAGAGCAUGGCCCCCACGACCGGAACUGAGACACUGUCCGGACACCUACGGGUGGCUGCAGUCGAGAAUCUUCCGCAAUGGGCGAAAGCCUGACGGAGCGACGCCGCGUGGUGGAUGAAGGCCCUUGGGUUGUAAACACCUGUCAGAGGGGAUGAAAUCAUGGUUGGCAAUCCUUCCAUGUUGACAGAGCCUCAGAGGAAGCACGGGCUAAGUACGUGCCAGCAGCCGACGG